UACACACCGCCCGUCACACCAUGGGAGCAGGUUCUGCCAGAAGUAGUUAGCCUAACCGCAAGGAGGGCGAUUACCACGGCAGGGUUCGUGACUGGGGUG
rnacentral:rRNA from 1 species